rnacentral:misc_RNA from 1 species
CCAUGUUCAAAGAGCUUCAGGUUGAUUCUCAAAAUGAUAUCCUAGAUGGUUUCUCACUGAAAGAAGUAGUAAUUGAUGAACUGAGAGAGAAAGAAUCUAGUUCAUGAUGUUCGACUAUUGAUUGGACUAGAUGGCUGAGGUUGUGGCAAUGGUAAACUGUACCUUUGAACUGGAUAACAGGGUUAUCCUUCAAAUGUCGCCUACUGUAAAUAAUUGAACACUCAACUAGAUAGAGAAAGUUGCAGGAAAUGUGGG